rnacentral:lncRNA from 1 species
CACAGGGUGUCGAUGGAAACAAACACGGCAGGCCCAUCAGGCCCUCACAUUUCCCUUAAGUGCCAAGAGGCGGUUCUUUCUCAGUCACCACAAUUGUUCCUGUUUAACAUGGCAGCCUUAAGCCAGACAUAAUUAGACUUUUUCUUGACAAAUCAUUUGUGCCAAGUCUUGACAGGUUGGAAACCGAAACGGUUAUGCUGCAUUCUUUAGGGUCUGAACCAGACAAGAUUUAAAAAAAAAAAGAAAUAAAAUGAAAGCGAGUACAUGGUAAGCUGUAACAGAACCACAUCUCCACAGUGACCCUGUGUUCUGAAUGUCCAAUUUGUCAGAGCUCAAUCUAUGUACAAAAGGCUCUGAAGGAAGUGGCCACAGUACCAACAAGUUUCCAUAGGAGAGAGUUCAGUAGAAGUCUGGAGAAUCAAAAUGGAGAGGAACUAGACUGUGCCUGGAAUGGAUGUUCAACAUAUGUGUACAUUGAUGGCAGCAACAUUGAAAACAGGAGAAGAGUGAGAAAUGUGAAGAAAGGCUAUAUCAAAAGUUAAAUUCAUUUUCAAAAAGGAAUAACUGGAAUCCACAUAUUUCCACUAAACUAGGAACAUCCUUUUCCCCAAUGUGUUAUUUAAGGUACAGAUUUCACUGAUCUAGGCCCUGCCUUCAAUCAGUCAUUCUUUGGUUCUGAGUCAUACUAAUUUGUUCCUUAUUUCCUAAACCAAC